rnacentral:rRNA from 1 species
GACGAACGCUGGCGGCGGGCUUCAUACAUGCAAGUCGAACGAGAACGCAUCCUUCGGGAUGCAAGUACAGUGGCGCACGGGUGAGUAACGCGUAGGCAACCUGCCCCUGAGUGGGGAAUAACCAUCGGAAACGGUGGCUAAUACCGCAUGACGUCGCACAUCGCAUGAUGUGCGAUGAAAGUCUUCGGAUGCUCAGGGAUGGGCCUGCGUCGGAUUAGCUUGUAGGUAGGGUAACGGCCUACCUAGGCAACGAUCCGUAGCUGGUCUGAGAGGACGAUCAGCCACACUGGCACUGAGACACGGGCCCAGACUCCUACGGGAGGCAGCAGCGAGGAAUCUUGCGCAAUGGGCGAAAGCCUGACGCAGCAACGCCGCGUGAAGGAUGAAGGCCUUCGGGUCGUAAAACUUCUGUCAGGCGGGACGAACGAGCGG